CUCACGCUUGAUAGCUUUCUUGACUCUGCUGCUAUUCCAGAAGGGGUCGGCUUUGUUUUUGGAGCAGGAUUGUGGUCUAUAUAAUAAUAGGGUUAACCCCAACCCUUGGGUAGCUAAAAUUCGAAGUGAAACGAAUCGUCGACCUGUCUGCACUGGAACGCUUAUCAACAAACGAAUUGUCCUGACGACUGCAAGUUGCUUGGAAAAUCAAGGACCCUUCAUUGUUUGCCUGGGGAAGUGUGAAGGGUCGUUACGUGGUAAACUUUAUGAAGUACACCAUGUACUGGAGCGGAUUAUACACAAGAUGUACUCCAAACACUCCCAUCAGCAUAAUAUAGGUUUGCUAAAAUUGGUAAACGAUGUCGAGUAUAAGCCUUACAUCCAACCGAUAUGCAUACUGAUAGACUCCCAAAAGAUUUUUCCAACGUUAUCUCUUAGCAACUCAUUGUCGGGUGUAAAGAUGCAUUCUAAACCGACAAGCUCCGCUGGCCUACCAAGAGGGUCUAUUGGGAAGCCGUUGUCCAUUCCAACCAAAUUUGAAUCAAUUAUUAGAAAAGUUCAACAUGGAAUCCUAAGCUAUCGGAAUUCUACAAGUAAUGCUUUUAUUUAUACUCAUGUUUUAGCCUAUGCCGACUGGAUUAUAUCAAACGCUCUAGACGUUGAUAUAAUUCUAAAUGUUUAGCUUGUAGAUUAAAAAUUGUGUGCUUCUAAAAUAUCAUAAAGUAAAUAAGCAGUGCAAAUGAACAAAUUUCAUUGAAACGGUAAAUAAAAAUUC